rnacentral:lncRNA from 1 species
CCCUGCCCUACUUUUCCCACAGAAAACCCAAUGAAGGUUGUGGCCUUGGCCUUCUCUUGCUUCUUUUUGUCUCCUGGCUGACAGUGAUGCUUUCUGCGUGGCAUGCGGUGCCUCUUGUCUCUUGGAAGAUGGUCCACAAGAGGAAACUAAAUCUCCAAGAGGAAGACCUGGGCCCGGCGGAGUCUGCUCAUCCCCACCACUGCCAGAAGGUCAUCAAUGACAGCUGGUGACCCAGAAUAGCACUUCUUGCCAACAUAGGUCACCAAUACAGAUUGAGCAGGAACCUCAGCAUCACCAGGAGAAUGAAACAGAUGAUAAUGACUUUGCAAGGGCUCAGAAAAUUAAGCUGCCAUUGGAACUCAAGCCCACAGAAACAGGCCAGAACUUAUACCUCAACAAGGUGAUUGACGAAAUAUGAGAUUUCAUAGGAUCAAGAGCCUCCUAAUGUAAUGAACAAAAUGUCCAGGAUGCAAUUAAAAAAUCAUCUAUUACCAAGAACUAGGAAAAUUACAAUUUGAAUGAGAAAAGAAACGUAGGAGGUGCUAUUAGCAAGAUGAAGAGGAUGUCAAUUAUCUGACAAGGACUUUAUUUUGUUUUAUUUUUUUUUAAAGAUUGUAUUUCUUUAUAUGACAGAGAGAGAGGGAACACAAGGAAGGGAAGUGGGAGAGGGAGAAACAGGCUUCCUGCUGAGGAGGGAGCCCAAAUUGGAGCUCCAUUUCAGGACCCCAGGACCAUGACCUGAGCCGAAGGCAGGCACUUAAUGACUGAGCCAGCAGGUGCCCCAUCGGACAAGGAUUUUAAAGCUGCCAUCAUCAGAAUGCUUCAACAAUAAUUACAAAUUCUCUUGAAACAAAUGUAGAAAUAGAAGAUCUCAACAAAGGAAGAGAAGUUAAAAGAACCUAGUGGUAUUUAUAGAACUAAAAAAUACAGUAACUAAAAUAAAAACUUUAUUUGAUGGGUUUUCAAAAGUGGAGUGGACAUGACAGAGAAUAGAAUUGUGAACUUGAAGACAGGACAAUAGAACCUACUCAAGCUGCACAACAGAGAGAAAAAAGACAAAAUACAUAAAAGACAUAAUAAAGCAUGCAUCCACAAUAUGCAAAGAACACUUAAAACUCAACAAUAAGAAGAUAAACAACUUGAAUUAAAAAGUGGGCCAAAAAAUUUAGCAGACACCUCACUGAAGAAGAUAGAAAGAUGCCAAAUUAGCAUGUGAAAAGAGGCUCCACACCAUAAGUUCACAUUUAAUACAAAUU